rnacentral:rRNA from 1 species
CAAUAGCGUAUAUUUAAGUUGUUGCAGUUAAAAAGCUCGUAGUUGGAUUUCUGCUGAUCGCUGUCGGUCUGCCGUCAGGUGUGUACUGGCAGUGUUUGGCAUCUAUUCGAGAUUGGGUGUCCACUUGAUUGUGUGCACUCGAUGUCGGAGCUAAUACUUUGAGAAAAUUAGAGUGUUCCACGCAGGCGCGUGCCUUGAAUACUGCAGCAUGGGAUAUUGGAAGGCCGAUUGAGCUUUCUUGUUGGUUCCCGGUUUGAUCGGAAUGAUUAAUAGGGAUAGUUGGGGGCAUUCGUAUUCAACUGUCAGAGGUGAAAUUCUUGGAUUUGUUGAAGACGGACUACUGCGAAAGCAUCUGCCAUGGAUGUUCUCAUUGA